rnacentral:rRNA from 1 species
UACGUAGGGGGCAAGCGUUGUCCGGAUUCAUUGGGCGUAAAGGGUGCGUAGGUGGCGCCAUAAGUCAGGUGUGAAAUCUCGGGGCUUAACUCCGAAACUGCAUUUGAUACUGUGGUGCUUGAGGACUGGAGAGGAGACUGGAAUUUACGGUGUAGCAGUGAAAUGCGUAGAGAUCGUAAGGAAGACCAGUGGCGAAGGCGGGUCUCUGGACAGUUCCUGACACUGAGGCACGAAGGCCAGGGGAGCAAACGGGG